rnacentral:rRNA from 1 species
CAGAGGGGGCAAGCGUUGUUCGGAAUUACUGGGCGUAAAGGGCGCGUAGGCGGCCUGUUAAGUCGAACGUGAAAUCCCCGGGCUCAACCCGGGAACUGCGUCCGAAACUGGCAGGCUUGAAUUCGGGAGAGGGAUGCGGAAUUCCAGGUGUAGCGGUGAAAUGCGUAGAUAUCUGGAGGAACAUCGGUGGCGAAGGCGGCAUCCUGGACCGAUAUUGACGCUGAGGCGCGAAAGCCAGGGGAGCAAACGGGAUUAGAUACCCCGGUAGUCCUGGCCCUAAACGAUGAAUGCUUGGUGUGGCGGGUAUCGAUCCCUGCCGUGCCGAAGCUAACGCAUUAAGCAUUCCGCCUGGGGAGUACGGUCGCAAGGCUG